UACGGAGGGGGCUAGCGUUGUUCGGAAUUACUGGGCGUAAAGCGCACGCAGGCGGUUGGUUAAGUCAGAUGUGAAAGCCCCGGGCUCAACCUGGGAAUUGCAUUUGAAACUGGCCAACUAGAGUACGUGAGAGGGGGGUAGAAUUCCAAGUGUAGCGGUGAAAUGCGUAGAGAUUUGGAGGAAUACCAGUGGCGAAGGCGGCCCCCUGGCACAACACUGACGCUCAGGUGCGAAAGCGUGGGGAGCAAACAGG
rnacentral:rRNA from 1 species